rnacentral:snoRNA from 1 species
GACUUCUUUUUGCUACCAAACCAUUUUGCUGCACUGAAUCCCAGCCUGGGGUGGACCACUUUGUUAAUGUCUAGGGCCCUUUGUCUGAAGAUUUGGUGCAAUAUAU